GACGAACGCUGGCGGCGUGCUUAACACAUGCAAGUCGAACGGAAAGGCCCUGCUUUUGUGGGGUGCUCGAGUGGCGAACGGGUGAGUAACACGUGAGUAACCUGCCCUUGACUUUGGGAUAACUUCAGGAAACUGGGGCUAAUACCGGAUAGGAGCUCCUGCUGCAUGGUGGGGGUUGGAAAGUUUCGGCGGUUGGGGAUGGACUCGCGGCUUAUCAGCUUGUUGGUGGGGUAGUGGCUUACCAAGGCUUUGACGGGUAGCCGGCCUGAGAGGGUGACCGGCAACAUGGGGAUGGAGACCGGCCCGGGCCCCUGGCGGGGGCGGGAGGGGGGAAAUUUUCCCAACGGGGGGGAGCCUGGAACCGCCACGCCCGCGGGGGGGGGCGCGCCUUCGGGUGUGGAACCCUUUUUCGCCGGGGAGGAAGGGGGGGGGAGGUAAGUGGAAAAAGAACCCCCGCCAAAUCCGGGC
rnacentral:rRNA from 1 species